rnacentral:misc_RNA from 1 species
CCAACCGCAACAUCCUCCAAGAUUUUUGCCAACCUUGGAUUCACAGAUGGAUCAGGAACAACAGUUGGGUUGGUUCUCAAACCCUUCACAGUACCAGGAGGCCCAGCUUUCUGCUGUUUACCCAAAACCAAAACCUGCUUCUGUGCAUGAUCUUGUCCUUGUUCAGCCAGCCGCAGCUGUUCACUUAGCUCCCUUACUUGCUUCUUCAAUUCAGCAUUUUUCUUUGAUAGAGAGAUAAUAUCUGAUUUAAGCAUUUUGAUUCGUUCCCCAGAUUCACAUGAAGGCGAGCCAAUCUGGACGUUGGACGUAGCAAUUCGAUGAUUCGGGGUAGCCGAAUCAGAGCUAAAGAAUCCAUGAGGAAACCAAAAAGCAAAGACGCACCCCAGAAGAACUCCGAUCACAAUGGCUAUUGCGAUUCGAGAUCCGCGAAGUGAUUGGCCCUUUUCUUUACGACCCAGACUCGCCAUGGCUUUUCUCUAUCUGAGUCUAUGACGCACUAGCGAAGAGAAGCUUGCUUUUAUUGCAUCAAUGGAUUGACCUGUUUGAAAAUUCAAAGUUAAUUCCUCAACACAAACUACAUUCUACAUAAUCUAUCCUUCUUUUUUCGGUUCUAUGUGGAAAAUUAGAGCAUAGUUUUUCUACGAAUCCAAACAAGACCCAAAACAC